GAAACCUUCCACAGCAGCACCCCAGACCUUGCAAAGUACUUCUUCAAUGACACUGCUCGCUCCCUGAAGGUGGUUGGGAACCCCUGGAUGGCUUACACUGGCAAGAACUACACCGGCGAUUCCAAGGAAUUCACGGAGGGAGAGUAUGAGAAACUGGGGCUGUUUGAGCAGAAGAUCAACUCCAUUAAACUGCUGAGUGCAGACACGGUCACCCCUCCAUCUGAGUGUCAGAGACAGUGACGUCCCAGAAGAUUUGACAUCUGACAUCAGACAAGGAGGUGUGAGGCUGUCAGCCCCAGGGGGAGGGAGAAAUGGUGGUUUAAUCUCCCCCCAGGAUCCUCACCAUGCCCCCACUCCCUCAAACCCCCAGCUGUGGGGGUCAGCCUUUCGCUAAAAUCCCUGAAGCUGCUCCACAAAACUCCGGCAAUGCGAUGGGCCGGCUGCUGCAACACGGAAUGAGACCCUUCGGCCCGUCCCGAAACCUGCUGCUUUCCCCGCUCCCGGUCUGCUCCCUUUGCUUUGCUCUGUCUGAUCAGCGAUGAAAUAAAAUGGAUGUUUGCAAAGU